rnacentral:rRNA from 1 species
UACGGAGGGAGCUAGCGUUGUUCGGAUAUACUGGGCGUAAAGCGCACGUAGGCGGCGUCGUAAGUCAGGGGUGAAAUCCCGGAGCUCAACUCCGGAACUGCCCUUGAAACUGCAAUGCUAGAAUCUUGGAGAGGCGAGUGGAAUUCCGAGUGUAGAGGUGAAAUUCGUAGAUAUUCGGAAGAACACCAGUGGCGAAGGCGGCUCACUGGUCCGGUACUGACGCUGAUGUGCGAAAGCGUGGGGAGCAAACAGG